CCUACGGGAGGCAGCAGUGGGGAAUUUUGGACAAUGGGGGCGAACCCUGAUCCAGCAAUGCCGCGUGAGUGAAGAAGGCCCUCGGGUUGUAAAGCUCUUUUGUCAGGGAAGAAACGGUGGUUCCUAAUACGAGCUGCUAAUGACGGUACCUGAAGAAUAAGCACCGGCUAACUACGUGCCAGCAGCCGCGGUAAUACGUAGGGUGCAAGCGUUAAUCGGAAUUACUGGGCGUAAAGCGUGCGCAGGCGGUUAUAUAAGACAGAGGUGAAAUCCCCGGGCUCAACCCGGGAACUGCCUUUGUGACUGUAUGGCUAGAGUGUGUCAGAGGGGGGUUAGAAUUCCACGUGUAGCAGUGAAAUGCGUAGAUAUGUGGAGGAAUACCGAUGGCGAAGGCAGCCCCCUGGGAUAACACUGACGCUCAUGCACGAAAGCGUGGGGAGCAAACAGGAUUAGAUACCCUGGUAGUCCACGCCCUAAACGAUGUCUACUAGUUGUCGGUACUUAUUGUCUUAGGUAACGCAGCUACGCGUGAGUAGACCGCCGUGGAGGUACGGUCGCGAGAGUAAACUACAAUAGAGUAGACGCGUGAGACGUGCGACGGACGACGACGAGGGAGGAGG
rnacentral:rRNA from 1 species